rnacentral:rRNA from 1 species
AUUGAACGCUGGCGGCAGGCUUAACACAUGCAAGUCGAACGAGUGGCGGACGGGUGAGUAAUGCUUGGGAAUCUAGCUUAUGGAGGGGGAUAACUACGGGAAACUGUAGCUAAUACCGCGUACCAUCGGAUGUGCCCAGGUGGGCUUAGGUAGUUGGUGGGGUAAAGGCUCACCAAGCCGACGAUCUCUAGCUGGGCGGAGAGGAUGACCAGCCACACUGGAACGGAGACACGGCCCAGACGCCUACGGGAGGCAGCAGUGGGGAAUAUGGCGCAAUGGGGGCAACCCUGAUGCAGCCAGGCCGCGUGUAUGAAGAAGGCCUUAGGGUUGUAAAGGACUUUCAGCGGGGAGGCGUUACCCGCAGAAGAAGCACCGGCUAACUCCGUGCCAGCAGCCGCGGUAAUAC